CGGGACAAACCAUGCACCUGCAGCCACCCGACUUUGCCAGGGGCACCAGAAGGACAGCUCCCCAGGAGUGGUGCUGGGGGACCAGGGUCUGUGUGCAGGAGGAUGAGGUUUGGCCCCCUCUCCACGCACAAGAAUCAGCCCCAAAUGGGUCGCCGAAAAAUGCAAACCCUGAAGCCAAAGAACCACGGCAAGAAAAUCCCGGGAAAUGCUUCAGGACCCGGCAGAGGCCAUGGAGUUUUGGAAACAAGAAACAGAAACACAAAUAAAUAAAAGGAUCAUAACAAACUAGGACGCUUCUGCACAGAAAAAGGACCCGUCAGUACAGCGGAGAGGCAAGCCUCCUUCUGAAUGGGAGAAAGUGUCUGCAAACUGUCCGACCAGGGCUGGGAUCCCUGAUUUUCUCUGUCUGUGUGUCCACUGGUAGGAACUCAGAAAGCUCAACUGCAAUGGAAAAAUUGGGAUGAGCAAAUGAUCUGAAUAGACACAUCUUAAAAGAAGAAGAAGAAAUCUGGGGCAUCAGGGAAAUGGCAAUCUAAGCCACAACGAGGUACUGCCUCAGCCCAGCCAGAUGGCUGUGAAAAAUAAUGAGUAAGUCCAUAGCAAGUGCUGGUGGACGGGGAGCAAAGGGGACUCUUGCACACCGUGAGUGGGAGCAUAUGCCACAGUGUAGCCCUCACAGGGAACACUGUGCAGUCCCCCAGAAAACUGAGAUUAGAUCCACCCAUGACCCCGCGAUCCCACCAGUGGCUGCACAGCCAGAGGAGGUGGAAUGGGCACCUCAGAUCCCUCCCACCAAGUUCAUAGCCAUGGCACUCGCAGCAGCUAAGACGCGGGCUCAACCUCAGGGCCCAUCACAGAUGGACGGAUGAAUGGGACGUGUGUGCACAUGACGAAUGCUCUUCGGCCGUUACAAAGAAUGACAUUCUGUGGUUUGCAGCAACAUCAAUGGAGCUGGAGGACAUUGUGUGAUGUGAAACGAGCCAGUCACAGAACAGCACACGGUCCUCUCUCUUCUGUGGAGGCUAAAGAAGGUCCAUCUCAAAUUGCAAGAGAGUAGGAUUGUCCCUGCUGGAAGGCUGGCCGGUGGGAAG
rnacentral:lncRNA from 1 species